rnacentral:rRNA from 1 species
GGGUCAGCAGGUUGGUCGUGCCAAUGGUAUGCACUGGCCUUGUUGAUUCCUCCUUCUUGAUGAGCCGUAAUGCCAUUAAUUUGGUGUUGCGGGGAAUCAGGACUGUUACUUUGAAAAAAUUAGAGUGUUCAAAGCAGGCGCACGCCUGUAUACAUUAGCAUGGAAUAAUAGAAUAGGACU